rnacentral:rRNA from 1 species
AUUGAACGCUGGCGGCAUGCCUUACACAUGCAAGUCGAACGGUAACGCGGGGCAACCUGGCGACGAGUGGCGAACGGGUGAGUAAUGCAUCGGAACGUGCCCAGUAGUGGGGGAUAGCCCGGCGAAAGCCGGAUUAAUACCGCAUACGACCUACGGGUGAAAGCGGGGGACUCGCAAGAGCCUCGCGCUAUUGGAGCGGCCGAUGUCAGAUUAGCUAGUUGGUGGGGUAAAAAGCCUACCAAGGCGACGAUCUGUAGCUGGUCUGAGAGGACGACCAGCCACACUGGGACUGAGACACGGCCCAGACUCCUACGGGAGGCAGCAGUGGGGAAUUUUGGACAAUGGGCGCAAGCCUGAUCCAGCCAUGCCGCGUGCGGGAAGAAGG